rnacentral:rRNA from 1 species
UCCUACGGGGGGCAGCAGUGAGGAAUAUUGGUCAAUGGGCGGAAGCCUGAACCAGCCAAGUCGCGUGAGGGAAUAAGGCCCUACGGGUCGUAAACCUCUUUUGCCGGGGAGCAAGGGCGGGGACGUGUCCCGGCCCGGAGAGUACCCGGAGAAAAAGCAUCGGCUAACUCCGUGCCAGCAGCCGCGGUAAUACGGAGGAUGCGAGCGUUAUCCGGAUUUAUUGGGUUUAAAGGGUGCGCAGGCGGAUUUUUAAGUCAGCGGUCAAAUCGUGGGGCUCAACCCCAUCCAGCCGUUGAAACUGGGGG